UUUUUUAGUUUAGACCAAUAAUCUACAUCAGUCGAUUUGAGGGUAUGUUGAAUGUGAUAUUUAAUGAAUAUGGUCAUUUUGUUGUUCAGAUUACACAAGUGGUUGCCCCUGAAGUCUCCUCCUUGCCCGGCUUAUUCAUUAAGGUAAGAUUUUGAUUGUCUCAAUUUGUCGCUUCAGUUCCACAUUAACCAUGAAUUGUUGUGUGUAAAUGCUCAUAUCCCGUUAAGUUCAUGUGUAUAAAUCAAGUGGGUUGAAGUGUGCUGUGAAUUUCCUGAAGAAGUUUACUUGAGAUAUUAUAUGCAUGGUGUGGAUUGUUGAGUUUGCUUGCUUAAUGGAAUGCCAUGCCUGUGCAGAUCAACAGGGGGAAGGUCCAGAGUGAGACCUUCAAGAUGGAUUUGAUGUUGCUAUUAUUUCAGUUUGCAGAUAGAGGAUGUUAUUCCAGCAAGACAGUGACGAUGGCGAUGACAAGUGAGAUUUAUGUUAAGGAGUAUUAGCAUAUGCUCACAGGAUCACUGGAAGCAUAUAAAGGUGAAAAUUAGCAAGCAAGCUACAGUCGAUGCAUGGAUGACCAAGUUUACUUGUUACUUUAUGAAGAUGAUGAUUCCUAAAUAGAAUUACGAGCUAGGUCCUGCAUGUUGAUCGUGCUUCAAGGGUAGAAGAGAAUGGGGGAGGGGACGCGCGCUCCAUAUUUUGUUAUGCACACCUUCCUAAACUAUACUUUUCUUCUUAACAUAUGUUCAUUGUCUAGCAGAA